GACGAAGGAUUCAAGCGUUGUCCGGAUUUACUGGGUUUAAAGGGUGCGUAGGAGGGCAGGUAAGUCAGUGGUGAAAUCCCCGAGCUUAACUUGGGAACUGCCGUUGAUACUAUCUGUCUUGAAUGUUGUGGAGGUAAGCGGAAUAUGUCAUGUAGCGGUGAAAUGCUUAGAUAUGACAUAGAACACCAAUUGCGAAGGCAGCUUGCUACACAAUUAUUGACUCUGAUGCACGAAAGCGUGGGGAUCAAACAGG
rnacentral:rRNA from 1 species